rnacentral:rRNA from 1 species
AUUGAACGCUGGCGGCAGGCCUAACACAUGCAAGUCGAGCGGAUGAAGGGAGCUUGCUCCUGGAUUCAGCGGCGGACGGGUGUGUAAUGCCUAGGAAUCUGCCUGGUAGUGGGGGAUAACGUCCGGAAACGGGCGCUAAUACCGCAUACGUCCUGAGGGAGAAAGUGGGGGAUCUUCGGACCUCACGCUAUCAGAUGAGUCUAGGUCGGAUUAGCUAGUUGGUGGGGUAAAGGCCUACCAAGGCGACGAUCCGUAACUGGUCUGAGAGGAUGAUCAGUCACACUGGAACUGAGACACGGUCCAGACUCCUACGGGAGGCAGCAGUGGGGAAUAUUGGACAAUGGGCGAAAGCCUGAUCCAGCCAUGCCGCGUGUGUGAAGAAGGUCUUCGGAUUGUAAAGCACUUUAAGUUGGGAGGAAGGGCAGUAAGUUAAUACCUUGCUGUUUUGACGUUACCAACAGAAUAAGCACCGGCUAACUUCGUG